rnacentral:rRNA from 1 species
UGCCAGCAGCCGCGGUAAUACAGAGAGUGCAAGCGUUAAUCGGAAUUACUGGGCGUAAAGCGCGCGUAGGUGGAUAUAUAAGUCGGAUGUGAAAGCCCUGGGCUUAACUCAGGAAUUGCAUUCGAUACUGUAUAUCUAGAGUAUAGUAGAGGGAAGUGGAAUUUCCGGUGUAGCGGUGAAAUGCGUAGAUAUCGGAAAGAACAUCAGUGGCGAAGGCGGCUUCCUGGACUAAUACUGACACUGAGGUGCGAAAGCGUGGGGAGCAAACAGGAUUAGAUA